GACGAACGCUGGCGGCGUGCUUAACACAUGCAAGUCGAACGGAAAGGCCCUGCUUUUGUGGGUUGCUCGAGUGGCGAACGGGUGAGUAACACGUGAGUAAACCGCCCUUAACUUUGGGAUAACUUCAGGAAACUGGGGCUAAUACCGGAUAGGAGCUCCUGCUGCGUGGUGGGGGUUGGAAAGUUUCGGCGGUUGUGGAUGGACUCGCGGCUUAUGAGCUUGUUGGUGGGGUAGUGGCUGACCAAGGCUUUGACGGCUAGCCCGCCUUAGAGGGUGACCGGCCACAUUGGGACUGCGAUACGGCCCAGUCUCCUACGGGAGGCAGCAGUGGGGAAUAUUGCACAAUGGGCGGAAGCCUGAUGCAGCAACGCCGCGUGCGGGAUGACGGCUUUCGGGUUGUAAACCGCUUUCGCCUGUGACGAAGCGGGAGUGACGGUAAUGGGUAAAGAAGCACCGGCUAACUACGUG
rnacentral:rRNA from 1 species